UACGGAGGGUGCAAGCGUUGUCCGGAUUUAUUGGGUUUAAAGGGUGCGUAGGCGGCUUUUUAAGUCAGUGGUGAAAUCCUGCAGCUUAACUGUAGGCGUGCCAUUGAUACUGGAAGGCUUGAGUACAGACGAGGUUGGCGGAAUUUAUGGUGUAGCGGUGAAAUGCAUAGAUACCAUAAAGAACACCGAUUGCGAAGGCAGCUAACUAGGCUGUAACUGACGCUGAGGCACGAAAGUGCGGGGAUCGAACAGG
rnacentral:rRNA from 1 species